UUAAGUGUCGUAAGGGCAUUUGGUGGAUGCCUUGGCAUGCACAGGCGAUGAAGGACGUGAUACGCUGCGAAAAGCCGUGGGGAGCUGCGAAUAAGCUUUGAUCCAUGGAUCUCCGAAUGGGGCAACCCACCUUAAAUGCUUGGAAAAUCCAAACUGAGUUUAGGCUCGGCUUGGGUUUCCAAGCAUUGUGAUAAGGUAUCUACACCUGAAUACAUAGGGUGUAAGAAGCGAACGCAGGGAACUGAAACAUCUAAGUACCUGCAGGAAAGGACAUCAACCGAGACUCCGCAAGUAGUGGCGAGCGAACGCGGACCAGGCCAGUGGCAAUAGUGAUUAAAGUGGAACAAGCUGGAAAGCUUGGCCGUAGUGGGUGACAGCCCCGUACGCGUAGAUAUCAUUAUUGUCCUAGAGUAGGGCGGGGCACGUGAAACCCUGUCUGAACAUGGGGAGACCACUCUCCAAGCCUAAGUACUCGUGCAUGACCGAUAGCGAACAAGUACCGUGAGGGAAAGGUGAAAAGCACCCCGACAAGGGGAGUGAAAUAGAACCUGAAACCGGAUGCCUACAAACAGUCGGAGCCCGCAAGGGUGACGGCGUACCUUUUGUAUAAUGGGUCAACGACUUAGUGUAACAAGCAAGCUUAAGCCGGUAGGUGUAGGCGAAGCGAAAGCGAGUCUGAAUAGGGCGAUUUAGUUUGUUGCAUUAGACCCGAAACCGAGUGAUCUAGCCAUGAGCAGGUUGAAGGUUGGGUAACACCAACUGGAGGACCGAACCCGCAUCUGUUGCAAUAGAUUGGGAUGACUUGUGGCUAGGGGUGAAAGGCCAAUCAAACUCGGAAAUAGCUGGUUCUCCGCGAAAUCUAUUUAGGUAGAGCGUCGAGCGAAUACCCCGGGGGGUAGAGCACUGGAUGGGCUAUGGGGACUCACCGUCUUACUGAUCCUAACCAAACUCCGAAUACCCGGGAGUACUACUCGGCAGACACACGGCGGGUGCUAACGUCCGUCGUGAAAAGGGAAACAACCCAGACCCGCAGCUAAGGUCCCAAAAUCAUCGCUGAGUGGAAAACGAUGUGGAAAGGCACAGACAGCCAGGAGGUUGGCUUAGAAGCAGCCAUCAUUUAAAGAAAGCGUAACAGCUCACUGGUCUAAAUAAGGGUCUUUGCGCCGAAAAUGUAACGGGGCUGAAGCCAUGCACCGAAGCUGAGGAUUUGCAGCAAUGCAAGUGGUAGCGGAGCGUUCCGUAAGCCUGUGAAGGGACAGUCGUGAGACAUCCUGGAGGUAUCGGAAGUGCGAAUGCUGACAUGAGUAACGAUAAAGAGGGUGAGAGACCCUCUCGCCGAAAGACCAAGGGUUCCUGCUUAAAGUUAAUCUGAGCAGGGUUAGCCGGCCCCUAAGACGAGGCGGACACGCGUAGUCGAUGGGAACCACGUUAAUAUUCGUGGGCCUGGUGGUAGUGACGGAUUGCGUAACUUGUUCAUUCUUAUUGGAUUGAGUGGGCAGGGAAGCGGUUCCAGGAAAUAGCUCCACCGUAUAGACCGUACCCGAAACCGACACAGGUGGUCAGGUAGAGUAUACCAAGGCGCUUGAGAGAACUAUGUUGAAGGAACUCGGCAAAUUGCACGCGUAACUUCGGAAGAAGCGUGACCCCAUUUUACGCAAGUGAGAUGGGGUGGCACAGACCAGGGGGUAGCGACUGUUUAUCAAAAACACAGGGCUCUGCGAAGUCGCAAGACGACGUAUAGGGUCUGACGCCUGCCCGGUGCUGGAAGGUUAAGAGGAGAGGUGCAAGCUUUGAAUCGAAGCCCCAGUAAACGGCGGCCGUAACUAUAACGGUCCUAAGGUAGCGAAAUUCCUUGUCGGGUAAGUUCCGACCUGCACGAAUGGCGUAAC
rnacentral:rRNA from 1 species